AGCAGCCGCGGUAAUUCCAGCUCCAAUAGCGUAUAUUAAAGUUGUUGCAGUUAAAAAGCUCGUAGUUGAAUUUCGGGAUCAAAUUGUUGGUCGUGCCUUGGUACGCACUGGCAUUAUUGGUUCCUACCUUCUGAAGAACCGCCAUUGUCAUUAAUUUGGUGUCGUGGGGAAUCAGGACUGUUACUUUGAAAAAAUUAGAGUGUUUAAAGCAGGCGCACGCUUGAAUACAUUAGCAUGGAAUAAUGAAAUAGGACGUUUGAUUCUAUUUUGUUGGUUUCUAGGAUCGACGUAAUGAUUAAUAGGGAUAGUUGGGGGCAUUAGUAUUCAAUUGUCAGAGGUGAAAUUCUUGGAUUUAUUGAAGACUAACUACUGCGAAAGCAUUUGCCAAGGAUGUUUUCAUUAAUCAAGAACGAAAGUUAGGGGAUCGAAGACGAUCAGAUACCGUCGUAGUCUUAACCAUAAACUAUGCCGACUAGGGAUCGGAUGAUGUUAAUUUUUUAAUGACUCAUUCGGCGCCUUACG
rnacentral:rRNA from 1 species